CCCGCUGAACUUAAGCAUAUCAAUAAGCGGAGGAAAAGAAACCAACAGGGAUUGCCUUAGUAACGGCGAGUGAAGCGGCAAAAGCUCAAAUUUGAAAUCUGGCAGUAAUGUCCGAGUUGUAAUUUGAAGAAGGUAACUUUGGUGAUAGCUCUUGCAUAUGUUCCUUGGAACAGGACGUCAUAGAGGGUGAGAAUCCCGUAUAUGGUGAGAUGACAUAUUACUAUGUAAAGUGCCUUCGAAGAGUCGAGUUGUUUGGGAAUGCAGCUCUAAGUGGGUGGUAAAUUCCAUCUAAAGCUAAAUAUUGGCGAGAGACCGAUAGCGAACAAGUACAGUGAUGGAAAGAUGAAAAGAACUUUGAAAAGAGAGUGAAAAAGUACGUGAAAUUGCUGAAAGGGAAACGCUUGAUGUCAGUCACGUUGGCUAGGGAUCAACCUUGCUUCUCGCUGGGUGUAUUUCCUAGUGGACGGGUCAGCAUCAGUUUCGGUCGCUGUACAAGGGCAAAGGGAACGUGGCACUCCUUGGAGUGUGUUAUAGCCUUUCGUCGUAUGCAGUGGUUGGGACUGAGGAACUCGGCACGAAAUCUAUUUUGUGCUUAGGAUGCUGGCAUAAUGGCCUUAAGCGACCCGUCUUGAAACACGG
rnacentral:rRNA from 1 species